rnacentral:lncRNA from 1 species
GGAUACCCUGAUAUAGGUAUGGAAGACCUGCUAAAAAAAGUGAUAGGAAAGGAGCUGGCACCUACGUGGAGGCUAAAUCGUUUAGGGUUGCGAGAAAAAACUAUCAUUUUGUGUGAACCAGAUAUUUUAAGUUUUUAAUGGCUCAAGUAGUUUUUCUCGCGAUUGUUUCCAAAUAGUAGCUCGUUUUUACCUGUAACUACAGAACAACUGCUGUCUUGAAAUUAGUGCAUCAUCGCAUAUAAGCACAAUGUUCUCAAGUAACCCAAUCACCUCACAUACCUAUGAACGCCAAAGAUUAUAGAAACAAAUCUCGUUCUCUUGCACCUAUAUCUAUCAAGACAUA